rnacentral:rRNA from 1 species
CAGCAGCCGCGGUAAGACAGAGGAUGCAAGCGUUAUCCGGAAUGAUUGGGCGUAAAGCGUCUGUAGGUGGCUUUUCAAGUCCGCCGUCAAAUCCCAGGGCUCAACCUUGGACAGGCGGUGGAAACUACCAAGCUGGAGUACGGUAGGGGCAGAGGGAAUUUCCAGUGGAGCGGUGAAAUGCGUUGAGAUCGAAAAGAACACCAACAGCGAAAGCACUCUGCUGGGACGACACUGACACUAAGAGGCGAAAGCUAGGGGAGCAAAUGGGAUUAGAUACCCCCGUAGUCCCUGUCUCUUAUAA